rnacentral:rRNA from 1 species
CCUACGGGAGGCAGCAGUGGGGAAUAUUGCGCAAUGGGGGAAACCCUGACGCAGCAACGCCGCGUGAGUGAUGAAGGCCUUCGGGUCGUAAAGCUCUGCCAACGCUGACGAUAAUGACGGUAAGCGAGGAGGAAGCCACGGCUAACUACGUGCCAGCAGCCGCGGUAAU